rnacentral:lncRNA from 1 species
CUGUUAUUUAUUAUUUUGAUGGAAUAACCUAUCUAUGCGAAGUACCGCAUGCAUGGUGAUUUCUUUUGUUAUUCCAUUCUUUAUUAUACUCAGUUGGUUAAAGUUUUAACUUCUACACUCCAUGAAAUUAGUGGAAUAUUCUUGAUAUUUGCGCUUCAUCCAGUAUCUUUUCAUGGAAAUAUUCUUCUGAGCAUUCUUGAAUUUU